GAACCACCAGCCCUCAUCGCCUUCAAUCCAUCAAACAAUUCAAUUCUCCUGCACCACCGAACCACCAGCCCUCAUCGCCUUCAAUCCAUCAAACAAUUCAAUUCUCCUGCACCACCGAACCACCAGCCCUCAUCGCCUUCAAUCUAUCAAACAGUAAGCACUUAUCGAGUAUCUAUCAGGCAGUCUGUAUCAUUUACCAAACAUUUUAAAAGAUGCAUUCUAAUCUUUCGUUUUUU